ensembl:lncRNA
GUAUCACGUGAGUUCCAGGGGCUUAAUGCUAACGCCCGUAUCCCUACUGUUGUGAGGAGUGUUUGCUCAGCCAGGGGCAGUUCAAGACAGUCGGGGUGGCAGCGUGUGCAGCCACCAGCAGUAAAGGUGCUAAUACACGUCCAGUGAUGUCAGGAGUUACGAGACAGCGGUUUCAAAACCCUGCAGUAAACAAGGUCAAAGUGUCCCGUUUUGCUGGAAGAAGGGUUGUUUUUAUGAGCUGGACAGCACAUGGAUGAACCUUGAACCUGAGAAUGCCAGAGGCUGGCGUCCCUGGACGCGCGUCUGAGCGGUUAUCUGCUGGUGGCCUGGUUCCUGAGCUAACAAGUGGGUGUCCCGGGCGCGCGUUGCUAACAGCAGCAGCGGUGCCACGUGGCGCCCAGAGGUCACCUCGGUCUGGCCUGGAGAUUGCCGGUCCUCCGUGAAGCUUCUGAGAUGAACCGUGAACUUGGGGCAUCCCGAGGCAGCACAGGCAUUCUGGAGUUCCCCCAGCAAACCUGGAUGAUCGCGUAAACACAGCUUGUAAAGUGAAAGCAGGGGCCUUGAGGAAAGGAAUUACCCUCAUCUCGUUCCCGACCUGCUUACUGCGCUGGAAAACAAAGGCUGCUGCGAGGAUCAAACGAACAGAUCUGUGUACGCCCUUGCUGCUGCUGCUGCUCUCUGUGCGACCCCAUAGGUGGUGCCUAAACCAGCCCUGGGGUCAGGCGGCUGUCAACCACAGGUUCCAGCACCAGUCUCAGAAGAUCCCAAAGGCCCACUUCACUGCCCCAGACUCCAUCUCUGCCUGCGCUGCUCUGUCUUCCUCGUCUGUUCACCUGCUAAUACCUGUGCAUUCUGAAGAGUCGUCUCAGGUAUCACCUCCUCCACGGAGCCCUCUGCCUUAGGUUAGAUGAUGUGAUGUGAUGUAAUUAGAGGGCGGAGGGAAGUGGGGAAAACGUGAGCACGCUGUGUUAGAACCAGGUCUGUUCUUCCUCUCCCACAAGACGCAAGCUACCUGAGGGGGAGACUUUCCCUCUGUGUCACCAUGUCUGGCUGUCACUGUUGUCACCACUUACAGAAGGAAUCAGGGGAGGCAGAAUAAAAGCAGGCCAGGACCCAGGUCACCGACUUCCUCCUGGGCCUGGCGGAGCUUGGGAAAGAGCUCAGCUAAGCUCCAGGCGGAGUGAAGGCGCAGCAGUCAGGGUGGGUGGAAGGAAGCCUUGCCUCACAGAGCAGCUGGCUAAACUCUCCUUCCUGCCCGCCCUCCAGAUUCCACAGCAGGACCCACCCACCUGUACUGCACACCCUUUUUGACACGUACCCUGAGUACUAUCCAGAGUCUAGGACUCAAGAAUUAUUUCCUGAUGGACUUAAUUAUUUAGCAGGCGAUGUGGCAAAAGCACAUCCUGGAGUGUCUGUUAAAUCAACUGUACUUCUAU